AUUGAACGCUGGCGGCAGGCUAACACAUGCAAGUCGAGCGGCAGCACAGAGAAACUUGUUUCUCGGGUGGCGAGCGGCGGACGGGUGAGUAAAUGCCUGGGGAAAUUGCCUGAUGUGGGGGAUAAACCAUUGGAAACGAUGGCUAAUACCGCAUGAUGCCUACGGGCCAAAGAGGGGGACCUUCGGGCCUCUCGCGUCAGGAUAUGCCCAGGUGGGAUUAGCUAGUUGGUGAGGUAAGGGCUCACCAAGGCGACGAUCCCUAGCUGGUCUGAGAGGAUGAUCAGCCACACUGGAACUGAGACACGGUCCAGACUCCUACGGGAGGCAGCAGUGGGGAAUAUUGCACAAUGGGCGCAAGCCUGAUGCAGCCAUGCCGCGUGUGUGAAGAAGGCCUUCGGGUUGUAAAGCACUUUCAGUUGUGAGGAAGGUGGUGUCGUUAAUAGCGGCAUCAUUUGACGUUAGCAACAGAAGAAGCACCGGCUAACUCCGUGCCAGCAGCCGCGGUAAUACGGAGGGUGCGAGCGUUAAUCGGAAUUACUGGGCGUAAAGCGCAUGCAGGUGGUUUGUUAAGUCAGAUGUGAAAGCCCGGGGCUCAACCUCGGAACUGCAUUUGAAACUGGCAGACUAAAGUACUGUAGAGGGGGAUAGAAUUUCAGGUGUAGCGGUGAAAUGCGUAGAGAUCUGAAGGAAUACCGGUGGCGAAGGCGGCCCCCUGGACAGAUACUGACACUCAGAUGCGAAAGCGUGGGGAGCAAACAGG
rnacentral:rRNA from 1 species